AUAGCAGACCCCACGUUAGCUGAAAUGGGAAAAAACUUGAAGGAGGCAGUGAAGAUGCUGGAGGACAGUCAGAGAAGAACAGAAGAGGAAAAUGGAAAGAAGCUCAUAUCCAGAGAUAUUCCAGGCCCACUCCAGGGCAGUGGACAAGAUAUGGUGAGCAUCCUCCAGUUAGUUCAGAAUCUGAUGCAUGGAGAUGAAGAUGAGGAGCCCCAGAGCCCCAGAAUCCAAAAUAUUGGAGAACAAGGUCAUGUGGCUUUGUUGGGACAUAGUCUGGGAGCUUAUAUUUCAACUCUGGACAAAGAGAAGCUGAGAAAACUUACAACUAGGAUACUUUCAGAUACCACCUUAUGCCUAUGCAGAAUUUUCAGAUAUGAAAAUGGGUGUGCUUAUUUCCAUGAAGAGGAAAGAGAAGGACUUGCAAAGAUAUGUAGGCUUGCCAUUCAUUCUCGAUAUGAAGACUUCGUGGUGGAUGGCUUCAGUGUGUUAUAUAACAAGAAGCCUGUCAUAUAUCUUAGUGCUGCUGCUAGACCUGGCCUGGGCCAAUACCUUUGUAAUCAGCUCGGCUUGCCCUUCCCCUGCUUGUGCCGUGUACCCUGUAACACUAUGUUUGGAUCCCAGCAUCAGAUGGAUGUUGCCUUCCUGGAGAAACUGAUUAAAGAUGAUAUAGAGCGAGGAAGACUGCCCCUGUUGCUUGUCGCAAAUGCAGGAACGGCAGCAGUAGGACACACAGACAAGAUUGGGAGAUUGAAAGAACUCUGUGAGCAGUAUGGCAUAUGGCUUCAUGUGGAGGGUGUGAAUCUGGCAACAUUGGCUCUGGGUUAUGUCUCCUCAUCAGUGCUGGCUGCAGCUAAAUGUGAUAGCAUGACGAUGACUCCUGGCCCGUGGCUGGGUUUGCCAGCUGUUCCUGCGGUGACACUGUAUAAACACGAUGACCCUGCCUUGACUUUAGUUGCUGGUCUUACAUCAAAUAAGCCCACAGACAAACUCCGUGCCCUGCCUCUGUGGUUAUCUUUACAAUACUUGGGACUCGAUGGGUUUGUGGAGAGGAUCAAGCAUGCCUGUCAACUGAGUCAACGGUUGCAGGAAAGUUUGAAGAAAGUGAAUUACAUCAAAAUCUUGGUGGAAGAUGAGCUCAGCUCCCCAGUGGUGGUGUUCAGAUUUUUCCAGGAAUUACCAGGCUCAGAUCCGGUGUUUAAAGCCGUCCCAGUGCCCAACAUGACACCUUCAGCAGUCGGCCGGGAGAGGCACUCGUGUGACGCGCUGAAUCGCUGGCUGGGAGAACAGCUGAAGCAGCUGGUGCCUGCAGGCGGCCUCACAGUCAUGGAUCUGGAAGCUGAGGGCACGUGUUUGCGGUUCAGCCCUUUGAUGACCGCAGCAGUUUUAGGAACUCGGGGAGAGGAUGUGGAUCAGCUCGUAGCCUGCAUAGAAAGCAAACUGCCAGUGCUGUGCUGUACGCUCCAGUUGCGUGAAGAGUUCAAGCAGGAAGUGGAAGCAACAGCAGGUCUCCUAUAUGUUGAUGACCCUAACUGGCCUGGAAUAGGGGUUGUCAGGUAAAGUCUUGGCCUGCCACUUGAUGUUGGAGACUUUUCUGUAUAAAGAACACGGGUGGGUCAUUUUCUGAACCACCUUAGAAAUCCAAGAUGAAUGUGUAGUCACAAUAUGCUUAACGAAAAUGCAACUCGGUUUUCUGGGCAUUUACAAAAGCACAGUGCAAGCAGGCAAUUUGGCCAGCAUGGCGCUCAGGGAGGGGAGUUGCUGAAUGUUCUGUCUGUAGGUGCCGACUCUCAGCUACCUAGGGAGAAGAUGCCAACAGGUAUAUAUCACUCACUGAGAAUGGUUACUAUCCAGGGCAUAUAGAGAAUUGCAAAUCAGUAAGAAAAAGAACCCAGCUCUCGGGGAGAGAACUGGGUGCAGUCCUAUGGCUGCUUUCUCGCCUUCAGAGGUGAGGCAAACCUCUUUUUGUAUUGCCCAUGAGACUUCCAGACCUUGUAUGGAACUAAAGACUUAGGCUUUCGGCUGGGCACGGUGGCUCAUGCCUGUAAUCCCAGCACUUUGGGAGGCCAACAGGAGCAUAGAUGACUUGAGGCCAGGAGCUUGAGUCCAGCCUGGACAACAUGGCGAAACCCUAUCUCUAGAAAAAAUACAAAAAUUAGCCAGAGGUGGUGCUGCACACCUGUAGUCCCAGCUACUCGGGAAGCUUAGAUGGAAGGAUCAACUGAGCCCAGGAGGUGGAGGUUGCAGUGAGCCAAGAUCAUGCCACUGCACUCCAGCCUGGGCCACCAAGUGAGACCCUGCUUUAAAAAAAAAAAAAAAAAAAAAAAGAGGCUUUCCUGUGACUUUGUUUACUCCUGGCAAACUUCCAGAAAGUUUGUGGUCUGGAGACACUCGCAGUAGCUCUUUUGCCCAUUGGUUCCACUGCAUUGUCUUGCUAAUAUUUAGAGGUUUCUACUCCACCUCUAAUCCUGUAUCAGAAGAGACAUUUGAUCUUUUAAGCUGAAAUGCUGUGGUUUGAUGUUGUUUUAGGUAUGAACAUGCUAAUGAUGAUAAGAGCAGUUUGAAAUCAGAUCCCGAAGGGGAAAAAAUCCAUGCUGGACUCCUGAAAAAGUUAAAUGAACUGGAAUCUGACCUAACCUUUAAAAUAGGCCCUGAGUAUAAGAGCAUGAAGAGCUGCCUUUAUGUCGGCAUGGCGAGCGACGAUGUCGAUGCUGCUGAGCUCGUGGAGACCAUUGUGGCCACAGCCCGGGAGAUAGAGGAGAACUCGAGGCUUCUGGAAAACAUGACAGAAGUGGUUCGGAAAGGCAUUCAGGAAGCUCAAGUGGAGCUGCAGAAGGCAAGUGAAGAACGGCUUCUGGAAGAGGUGAGGCCCCCGAUGGGCAGCAGGCUGGGGGAGCCGCCGUGAGGCCAGGUGGCCCUGAACUCUGGUCCUGUCUUGCAGGGGGUGUUGCGGCAGAUCCCUGUAGUGGGCUCCGUGCUGAAUUGGUUUUCUCCGGUCCAGGCUUUACAGAAGGGAAGAACUUUUAACUUGACAGCAGGCUCUCUGGAGUCCACAGAACCCAUAUAUGUCUACAAAGCACAAGGUGCAGGAGUCACGCUGCCUCCAACGCCCUCGGGCAGUCGCACCAAGCAGAGGCUUCCAGGCCAGAAGCCUUUUAAAAGGUCCCUGCGAGGUUCAGAUGCUUUGAGUGAGACCAGCUCAGUCAGUCACAUUGAAGACUUAGAAAAGGUGGAGCGCCUGUCUGGUGGGCUGGAGCAGAUCACCCUCGAGGCCAGCAGCACUGAGGGACACCCAGGGGCUCCCAGCCCUCAGCACACCGACCAGACCGAGGCCUUCCAGAAAGGGGUCCCACACCCAGAAGAUGACCACCCACAGGUAGAAGGACCAGAGAGCUUAAGAUAAGACUCAUUGUGUGGUUUGAGACUGUACUGAGUAUUGUUUCAGGGAAGAUGAAGUUCUAUUGGAAAUGUGAACUGUGCCACAUACUAAUAUAAAUUACUGUUGUUUGUGCUUCACUGGGAUUUUGGCACAAAUAUGUGCCUGAAAGGUAGGCUUUCUAGGAGGGGAGUCAGCUUGUCUAACUUCAUGUACAUGUAGAACCACCAGAAACUGUUUGUUUGCUGUCCUACUACCACUUUUCCCUAAGUUACCAUAAACACAUUUUAUUCACAAAAAAACACUUCGAAUUUCAAGUGUCUACCAGUAGCACCCUUGCUCUUUCUAAACAUAAGCCUAAGUAUAUGAGGUUGCCUGUGGCAACUUUUUGGUAAAACAGCUUUUCAUUAGCACUCUCCAGGUUCUCUGCAACACUUCACAGAGGCAAGACUGGCUGUAUCCUUUGCUGUCGGUCUUUAGUACGAUCAAGUUGCAAUAUACAAUGGGACUGCUAGACUUGAAGGAGAGCAGUGAUUGUGGGAUUGUAAAUAAGAGCAUCAGAAGCCCUCCCCAGCUACUGCUCUUCGUGGAGACUUAGUAAGGACUGUGUCUACUUGAGCUGUGGCAAGGCUGCUGUCUGGGACUGUCCUCUGCCACAAGGCCGUUUCUCCCAUUAUAUACUGUUUGUAAAGAGAAAUUGUAAAGUCUCCUCCUGACCAUAUAUUUUUAAAUACUGGCAAAGCUUUUAAAAUUGGCACACAAGUACAGACUGUGCUCAUUUCUGUUUAGUAUUUGAAAACCCGAUAGAUGCUACCCUUAAGAGCUUGCUCUUCCGUGUGCUACAUAGCACCCACCUGGUUAAAAUCUGAAAACAGUACCCCUUUGACCUGUCUCCCACUGAAGCUUCUACUGCCCUGGCAGCUCACCUGGGCCCAACUCAGAAACAGGAGCCAGCAGAGCACUCUCUCACGCUGAUCCAGCCAGGCGCCCUGCUUAAGUCAGUAGAAGCUCGCUGGCACUGCCCGUUCCUACUUUUCCGAAGUACUGCGUCACUUUGUCGUAAGUAACGGCCCCUGUGCCUUCUUAGUCCAGCAGUCAAGCUUUUGGGAGACCUGAAAAUGGGGAAAUUCACACUGGGUUUCUGGACUGUAGUAUUGGAAGCCUUAGUUAUAUCAUAUUAAGCCUAUAAUUAUACUCUGAUUUGAUGGGAUUUUUGACAUUUACACUUAUCAAAAUGCAGGGGGUUUUUUUUGGUGCAGAUGAUUAAACAGUCUUCCCUAUUUGGUGCAAUGAAGUAGAGCAGAUAAAAUGGGGGAGGGGUAAAUUAUCACCUUUAACAAAAUUACAUGUUUUUAUAUAUAUUUGGAAUUGUUAAAUUGGUUUUGCUGAAACAUUUCACCCUUGAGAUAUUAUUUGAAUGUUGGUUUCAAUAAAGGUUCUUGAAAUUGUUA
rnacentral:sRNA from 1 species